CAAUACUGCAUGCUUGUUAUCAUUUAAUAUAUCACUGGUUUCUCAAAUAUAGCUCUGCAUAUCUUCUUUUCUGGUUCUGUAAUCAUGGGUCACCCCUUCCAAUAUUUGUAUGUUGUGUAUCAACAUGUAAUCGGAAGUUGAAGCUAUUGAGUAAGCAGUAACAGUGAAGAUUGGUUACCCAGUUAAUUUUCUCAAGAUCGAGCAGUAAAUAAGAAUCUUGAAAAAGUCACUAGCAGGUUCUAUACAUAACCUAUCUUUUGUCUUGUGUCGGGACACAUGGCGCAUAAGGUUUUUUACUUGUGCUUUCACCCUUCCAAAGUUUAAAAUGAAUAAUUGUAUGGCGUGUUUUCUCCUAUAUAUUACAAUAACAUUUGAUGUCUAGUAUGCUCAAGAUCAUCUAGUCUGUUUUGAGCCAGUAGCUGCUAUAUUUGUUCAGUCUUAAACUCCUAAUGUUACUUUCCAUUCUAUUUCCUUAUGAUUUUUUUAUGGUCUGACUAUCGAGUACGUAACAGUUUUGCUCUCUAAUUUGUUUGUCCAUACCCUUUGAUUUAAUCUCUUUCAUUAUUUUUGGAUUUAGGAAGAAUUGAAAAAACUUCACAGGUUAUCACUCAAUGUCAAGAAAUUGAAUAUUAUUCGUCCCAAUUAAGUGGUGCUAUUCCCUUUAAUAUUUUGUUGUUGUAUGCACAUCAACCUAUAAAUUAAAUAUUGGUCAACAUGUAUUUGAGGUCUGGGUUUUCUAGUUUGCAAUUCAUCUUGAGUAGGAGCAAAAUUCAAGAUCUGGGAUCUACGAGAGAUGCAAGAGCCUUUGUUCUAAUCAAGGGACAAUUGAUCUGUUGCAUGGAAGGAAGAUGAUCAGCACAACAAGGAGGCUGCAGCAAGAAGUUAAGGGUAACCUUGAAGAGAAGCUUGCAACUUAAGCUGUAACAAAACAUUAUGAAAAGAGGUCUCACGCUGUGAAUGUUUAGUUGAUGCACUAGUGUUUUUAGAUGUUGCGCCUCUGUUUUCAUUGUCCUUUGAUUCAUGUAUGCAACUUCGAUGGAAUUGUAUCCGAAUUAUGUGAAUUUGUAACUCCAUGGUUGAUGGAAGCUAUUGAUAGUGAUGUUUCUCUAUUCUAAACAUUCAGAGUAA